AGUAGCCUGGGGCCAGGCUGGGCAUUACAUGCUGUUUUAUCACUGGGCCUGGUUGUGCAGGGGUGGGCCCAAGGGUUGAUGGGGGCUCCUCCUCCCGUCCCUGGUGCAGCCCAGUUGGAAGGGCAUGGCAGGGAGCAGGCGCAGCAGCACCAGGGCGACGGUACCUGAGCUCAGUGCUAGGGGACCAAUUAGCCAGUCAUGGGGUGCAUCCCAGGACCCUGCUGCCAACCUUCGGAGGCUCCCUGAGUCCCAGAUCUUCUCCCCAUGCCAGGCCGAGGCACCAAGAACCCAGCCCGUUCAGGGGCACUAGCAUCAGCCAGUGUAGCUUGGCCAACAGGCUGUGUGGCAGGGGAGGCCCGGAGAGCAGAAGGGACAGAUCAAAGGGCCCACUGCAUGAGAGGCCCAGCUGGGAGCAGACCCCAGGGAAUCCACAUUUCCUGACUCAUUUGAGUAAGCUCUUUCCUGCCCAUCCAAACAGACACACAAACCAUAUUCACAUAUGUACACAAACAGACUCACAUACAGCAGGCACGCAGAUAUGCACCCAUAGAUCUACCCAGAGAUGGAGAGCAGACACACAGACACCCAGACACGCACAGUAGACGUGCCCUCAUGGGUGCAGGCUCAUGGCUGUACUUACACAUAUGCAGGUGGGCCCAGAAUUCAUCCCUGUUCCCCUAACCAAAAAUACCUUCCGUUAGCUGAAAGUUUAAACUGUGUAUCUUGCUGAACAAAAUCAACCCCCAGGACGCCCUAUCCCUUGUUGACUACAAACUGAACACCCUGCAGUACCAUGAGUCCCCACACCUUUCAUGGGGGCUGCGGGAGGGGGCACCCAGCUGGAUGCGUCACCUUCCUCUGCAUUCAGCCAGAGGCUUGGUCUCUCUCUCAGGACAAUGAGAAUGUGAGAACACAGCACCUGUUCUCGGGGUCUCCCAGGCAUUCCUGGGAGGGCAACUUCCUCUCCCCAUCAGGCCCCCUCUCUAAUCUUCACAAGAGCUUCAGUUUUCCCAUGGGCCCCCCGUCCCUCCCACCCUCUGACGCAGGCAGGCAGCAUGACAAGUGACAAAUGAAAACUCACUUUCUCGGCCAGGCGUGGUGGCUUACACCUGUCAUCCCAGCACUUUGAGAGGCCGAGGUGGGAGGAUCGCUUGAACCCAGGAGUUCAAAAGCAGCCUGGGCAACAUAUCAAGACCCCAUCUCUUAUAAAGAAAAUAAAAAGUCAUUUUCUCAGCUGGGUAUAGUGACUCACAACUGCAAUCCCAGAACUUUGGGAGGCCAGGAUGGGAGGAUCACUUGAGCCCAGGAGUUUCUGACCAGCCUGGGAAAUAUAGUCAGACCCCAUCUCUAUAAAGUAAACAAGUAAAUUUUUUAAAAGUCAUUUUCUAAUGAACAGGUGUGGACCAGGGCUGGGGCAAGCUGGGAGUGGGGAGGGUAAAGUUCCUAGAAGUCUUUGGGACUCUGGGGUGUCAUGGUUCACAGCUGAAACCCUGUUUUUGGCAGUUAGUCAGGGCUGCCAAAAGCCGCGGCUGACCUCCUCCCUCCCUGCCCCAGUGCCAGGUUCACUCUCCACGUUAGCCUUUGUGAACUUUAGCCACCUGCCCAGGGCCAGGCUUUCUCUUGGAAUCAGACUUUCACAAAGGAUUCUCAGGAAAAGACAGGCACCAUCCUCUCAGCUCCAGCUUGGCAGACCCACUACACUCCUUCCUAUGGUUCCUCGGUCCACUCCCAAUUUUUUUUGUGGGGAGACGGAGUCUCACUCUGUUGCCCAAGCUGGAAUGCCGUGGCACAGUCUCAGCUCACUGCAACCUCCACCUCCCGAAUUCAAGCAAUUCUCUUGCCUCAGCCUCCUUCCCGAGUAGCAGGGACUACAGGUGCACAUUAUCACACCCGGCUGAUUUUUGUGUUUUUAGUAGAGACAGGGUUUCACCAUGUUGGCCAGGCUGGUCUCGAACUCCUGACUUCAGGUAAUCCACCCACCUCAGCCUCCCAAAGUGCUGGGAUUAUUGGCGUGAGCCACUGUGCCCAGCCCACUCCCCAGUUUUUAACCCACUCUGCCUCAAAGCUGAUCGGCUAUCAGUAGUAUCAACUCCCAUCCCCAAACCCAGUGGGAAUUUAAAACCAUAGGAAAUAUUCUUGUGCCAACCCAGAGGGUGAAAUAUCUUCCUGCUUUGUGCCCUCUUAAGGCCAAGAGCAAAUUUAUUAAGUAAUAACAAAUCACUUAAAAAUGAUAAUUUUACCAGCCUGGGCAACAUGGCAGGAACCCAUCUCUACAAAAAAAUAAAUAAAUAAAAUAAACUAGCUAGGCAUGGUGUCACAUGCCUGUAGUUCCAGCUACUUGGGAGGUUGAGGCAGGAGGAUCGCGUGAGUCCAGAUGUUCAAGGUUGCAGUGAGCUAUGACUGCGCCACUGCACUACAGCCUGGGUAACAGAGUGAGACCCUGUUUCUAAAAGAAAUGAAUAAAUAAAUAAAAUAAUAAUAAUUUAAAAAUAUGAACUAACGUUACUUACAUAAUAAGAAUUCAUUUUAAAAUGAUGGCUUGGUUACUCUGGGCUCACUGCUUAUAGGGUAGCCCUGCUCCACAAGGAGCAGUAAAAAUAUAUAAUAAUAGUAAUAAUAUCAAUAAUGGCUAUCACUAGAAUGUAAGCAACAAUAUAAACUCUACAAGGGUAGGUAUUUUGUCCAUUUUGUUCACCGAUGGAUCCCAAUAACCUAGAGUAGUGCUUGGCAUAUUGCAGGUUCUCGGUAAGUAUUUGUUGACUAAAGUAAUUACUGUUAGACACUGUCUAAGUGCCUUUCAAGGAUCGGUUUAAUUAAUUGUUACAACAUUGUGAGGUGAGUAAUAUUGCACCCAUUUUGCAGACUGAGGCAGACGUAAACUAAGAAAUCCACCCAAAGUCACAUACCUAGUAAAGGGAGACUUUGUGUCCAAGCAGCCUGGCCCUAGGGCCCAGGCUCUUGAUCACCAAGUCUAUUGCCUUCCUUAACAGCAGUAUCCUUAAUAGCAAUUAUAUUUCAUUGAACUGUUUUUGUUCUGUUUCUCAUACAAUAAUUUACUGAUAUCUGUGUCUCCUACCAGACUAUGAUGUCCGUGAGGUCAGAGGAAAGGGAGAACGUCUCACAUACAGAAAAUGCUUGAUCAACAUUGAUGGAAUGAUAAAUGGGCCUCAGCGGCACCUGUCCUGAGUCAGCACCUCACAGAGGUUUUGCCAGCACCAGCCACAUCUCCAGCAUGAAGGUGAUUGUCUGAGUGUAUCCAGUCCAAUUCCUGCCUUAAUAAGGAUCACUGCCGCAAGGGAGAGGGCUGUCAAGGCCUUGCCUCCCUCCAACCCCAUCCUAGCCUGAGUCUUAACCAUUCUUCCAAUCCAGUUCCACUUAGGGCCAGUGCUUAACCCAGGGUAGCACUUUUGAGCCUCACAACUCUUGGGAGUGAGUUUUCAUCCUAACGUUCUCAGAUGAGGAAAUUGGGCCUCAAACAGUACACACAGGUGAGGCACUGUGGCUCAUGCCUGUAAUCCUAACACUUUGGGAGGCCAACGCAGGAGGAUUGCUUGCGCCCAGGAGUUCAAGACCAGCCUGGGCAACAUGGUGACACCCUGUCUCUACAAAAAAAUACAACAAUUAGGCAAACGUGGUGGCAUGCACCUGUCAUCCCAGCUACCUGGGAGGCUGAGGUGGGAGGAUUGCUUGAGCCCAGAAGGCUGAGGCUGCAGUGAGCCAUGAUCCUGCCAGUACACUCCAGCCUGGGUGACAGAACAAGACCCUGUCUCAAAAACAAAACAAAACAAAAACAAA